rnacentral:rRNA from 1 species
AUGGGAGAUACCAGUAGGGAUUCCGGUAUUGAGAAAUUGUGUGAAAGUAUGCAGCGUAUGAUUUCACAGCUGAUGGAGCAGGCACAAACAAAGACAAGCAGAACUUCUGAAAUUUUGAAGACCAUGGAACCCAAUCCUGUCAGGUUAACUGGUCCAGGUGAUUUUUUUAGCUGGUCUCGGAACGCCACAUUGAUUCUGGAGUCACAUGGACUUCAGAAAUUUUUGAAGGACGAUGAAAAAAAACCAACGGAUGUCACACAAGAGCAAUGGGAUCAGAAUCAAAAGCGAGUUAUGGUAUGGCUGUUGGGGUCGAUGGAGAAUACUGUUAGGGAACAAGUUGAAGGGUUUCAGUCUGCAGCUGAGGUGUGGACAAGCAUUGAGAAACAGUUCUCAGGAAAAUCGAACAAGAUGCAAGUUAGUAGGAUUUUCCAUGAAUUGAGGCAGAUCAAGCAAGAGCAGAAGACAAUGACUGAAUUUGCGGGAGAAAUCAAGAAACUCUAUAGAGACCUGGAGUAUUUUAGACCAUUUAAGACAUGA